rnacentral:rRNA from 1 species
UCAGGGAGGCAAAACCCCCUGAGAAACAGGACACGUGAUGCGGAGCGAAAUAAAGUAGCGAAGAGUGGUGAGCCGGCGCCGAGAAAAGCCGCUAUUGUUUGUAAGGUACCCGUACCGUAAACCGACACAGGUGGAUGAGGAGAGAAUCCUAAGGCCGACGGGAGAAGCAUUGUUAAGGAACUCGGCAAAAUGACCCCGUAACUUCGGGAGAAGGGGUGCCUGCGAGAGCAGGCCGCAGAGAAUAGGCUCAAGCAACUGUUUAGCAAAAACACAGGUCUAUGCGAAACCGAAAGGUGAGGUAUAUGGGCUGACGCCUGCCCGGUGCUGGAAGGUUAAGAGGAGAGGUUAGCGCAAGCGAAGCUUUGAAUUUAAGCCCCAGUAAACGGCGGCCGUAACUAUAACGGUCCUAAGGUAGCGAAAUUCCUUGUCGGGUAAGUUCCGACCCGCACGAAAGGCGUAAUGAUUUGAGCACUGUCUCGACAAUGCAUCCGGUGAAAUUGAAGUACCAGUGAAGAUGCUGGUUACCCGCGCCAGGACGGAAAGACCCCAUGGAGCUUUACUCCAGUUUGGUACUGGGAUUCGGUACUGCAUGUACAGGAUAGGUGGGAGACUAAGAACUUGGGACGCCAGUUUCAAGGGAGUCGCUGUUGGGAUACCACCCUUGCAGUAUUGGAUUUCUAACCAGCCGCCGUGAUCCGGCGGUGGGACAAUGCCAGGCGGGGAGUUUGACUGGGGCGGUCGCCUCCGAAAGGGUAUCGGAGGCGCUCAAAGGUUCCCUCAGAAUGGUUGGAAACCAUUCGAAGAGUGCAAAGGCAGAAGGGAGCUUGACUGCGACACCGACGGGUGGAGCAGGUACGAAAGUAGGACUUAGUGAUCCGGUGGUAUAAAGUGGGAUUGCCAUCGCUCAACGGAUAAAAGCUACCCUGGGGAUAACAGGCUUAUCACUCCCAAGAGUUCACAUCGACGGAGUGGUUUGGCACCUCGAUGUCGGCUCAUCGCAUCCUGGGGCUGUAGUAGGUCCCAAGGGUUGGGCUGUUCGCCCAUUAAAGCGGUACGCGAGCUGGGUUCAGAACGUCGUGAGACAGUUCGGUCCCUAU